UUUUGGACAAUGGGCGCAAGCCUGAUCCAGCCAUGCCGCGUGAGUGAUGAAGGCCCUAGGGUUGUAAAGCUCUUUCAACGGUGAAGAUAAUGACGGUAACCGUAGAAGAAGCCCCGGCUAACUUCGUGCCAGCAGCCGCGGUAAUACGAAGGGGGCUAGCGUUGUUCGGAAUUACUGGGCGUAAAGCGCACGUAGGCGGAUCGAUCAGUUAGGGGUGAAAUACCGGGGCUCAACCCCGGAACUGCCUCUAAUACUGUCGCUCUCGAGUUCGGGAGAGGUGAGUGUAAUUCCGAGUGUAGAGGUGAAAUUCGUAGAUAUUCGGAGGAACACCAGUGGCGAAGGCGGCUCACUGGCUCGAUACUGACGCUGAGGUGCGAAAGCGUGGGGAGCAAACA
rnacentral:rRNA from 1 species